rnacentral:rRNA from 1 species
UACGUAGGGGGCAAGCGUUGUCCGGAUUUACUGGGCGUAAAGAGCGUGUAGGCGGCCACGCAGGUCCGUUGUGAAAACUGGAGGCUCAACCUCCAGCUGUCGACGGAAACCGUGUGGCUAGAGUCCGGAAGAGGAGAGUGGAAUUCCUGGUGUAGCGGUGAAAUGCGCAGAUAUCGGGAGGAACACCGGUGGCGAAGGCGGUUCUCUGGGCCUUACCUGACGCUGAGGAGCGAAAGCGUGGGGAGCGAACAGG